GACGAACCGUGCGAACGUUGUUCGGAAUCACUGGGCUUAAAGGGCGCGUAGGCGGGCUGUCAAGUCUGGGGUGAAAUCCCGCGGCUCAACCGUGGAACUGCCUCAGAUACUGACGGCCUCGAGGGAGGUAGGGGCGAGCGGAACUGUGAGUGGAGCGGUGAAAUGCGUUGAUAUUCACAGGAACUCCGGUGGCGAAGGCGGCUCGCUGGACCUCUUCUGACGCUGAGGCGCGAAAGCCAGGGGAGCAAACGGG
rnacentral:rRNA from 1 species